CCUACGGGUGGCUGCAGUGAGGAAUAUUGGUCAAUGGGCGGAAGCCUGAACCAGCCAUGCCGCGUGAAGGAUGAAGGUUCUAUGGAUUGUAAACUUCUUUUAUUUGGGAAUAAACCCUCCGACGUGUUGGAGGCUGAAGGUACCAAAUGAAUAAGCACCGGCUAACUCCGUGCCAGCAGCCGCGGUAAUACGGAGGGUGCAAGCGUUAUCCGGAAUCAUUGGGUUUAAAGGGUCCGCAGGCGGAUUUAUAAGUCAGUGGUGAAAGCCUACAGCUC
rnacentral:rRNA from 1 species